CAGAACAAUCUGGAAGCUUCCAGAAUGAUGAGAGGAGAUAAACAUACCCUGGAGUUUUAGCUAAAUAACCUAAGAGGCUUAAUCCCAGAGUUCCAGAAUGUCAUAGGCGGAGGAGAGGGGUCCUGGAACAGCAGAACAGGAACUCAGAGGACACAGCUCCUUGCCUGUCCGUGAAUAGUCUCCCAGGCCCGGAAUUCCAGGAACCCACGUGCCGCUAGAGACAUGACCCGCCUUUCAAGGUUGACCGCAGGGGAAGAGCACGUCCCUUGCAGGGUGGCUGGAACCAGCUCCAAGAGUAAAAAAUUCAUCCUGGCACCAAGUCUGGCACAACCGUGGACCCAACAGGGAUGGUGGAGAUUUGCCACCUCACCCACCCGCCUCAAAUCACCCACACCCACGUCUUCCUCCGUUCACUGGACAACUAUGCAUUGAGCACCUACUAUGUGUCAAGCCUCUUCCAGGCACCAGAACUUUUUGAAUAUAUCACAUAAAACAGACGAAGAAGCUGCUGUCAAGAAAUUACUAUUUUAAGAGGGGAAUGGUUCAGAGACCUCUGUAGAGGGGAAUGGUUCAGAGACCUCUGUACUAUUUCAUAUAGUUAUAAAGGCAGAAAGUAUACAGCUUUGAUGUUG